CCUUAGUUGCCAGCAUUCAGUUGGGCACUCUAAGGAGACUGCCGGUGUUAAACCGGAGGAAGGUGGGGAUGACGUCAAGUCCUCAUGGCCCUUAUGUCCAGGGCUACACACGUGCUACAAUGGCCGGUACAAAGGGCUGCAAGACCGUGAGGUUGAGCGAAUCCCAGAAAGCCGGUCUCAGUUCGGAUUGGAGUCUGCAACUCGACUCCAUGAAGUUGGAAUCGCUAGUAAUCGCGGAUCAGCAUGCCGCGGUGAAUACGUUCCCGGGCCUU
rnacentral:rRNA from 1 species